CGGGAUGUGGCGCAGUCUGGUAGCGUACUCGUCUGGGGGGCGAGGGGUCGCAAGUUCAAAUCUUGUCAUCCCGA
rnacentral:tRNA from 4 species